GUUUCCGUAGUGUAGUGGUCAUCACGUUCGCCUAACACGCGAAAGGUCCUUUUGCUCGAAACCGAGCGGAAACA